AUUGAACGCUGGCGGCAGGCUUAACACAUGCACGUCGAACGAGUGGCGGACGGGUGAGUAAUGUCUGGGAAACUGCCCGAUGGAGGGGGAUAACUACUGGAAACGGUAGCUAAUACCGCAUACCCUCGGAUGUGCCCAGCUGGGAUUAGCUAGUAGGUGGGGUAACGGCUCACCUAGGCGACGAUCCCUAGCUGGUCUGAGUGGAUGACCAGCCACACUGGAACUGGGACCCGGCCCCAACACCGACGGUAGGCAGCAGUAUGGAAGCUUGAACAAGGGGCGCAAGCCUGAUGCAGCCACGCCGCGUGUAUGAAGAAGGCGUUCGGGUUGUAAAGUACUUUCAGCGAGGAGGCGUUACUCGCAGAAGAAGCACCGGCUAACUCCGUGCCAGCAGCCGCGGUAAUAC
rnacentral:rRNA from 1 species